UUACAAAAUUAAUAAGAUAAAGUUUAUUUUUUAUUAUUAAAAUAUAAAAAUUACUGUAUUUUAAAAACACUAUUAUAUAUUAUUUAUAUUAAAAAUAAUUAAAUUAAUAAUAAAUUAACUACUUAAGUGCCAGCAAUCGCGGCUAUACUUUAUAUUUUAAAACUAAAAAGUAUUGAAAUUUAAAAUUUAAAUUAAUAAAAAUUUCAAGUGAAAUUUUAUUUUAAAAUAAUUAAUUAAAUUAAUCAAUUUUUAUUAUAAAUUUAAAAUAGGAUUAGAAACCCUAGUAUAUUAUAACUAUUUAAGGUAGUAUUUAUAAUAAAAACCUAAUUAAUAAAUGACGGCUUUUAUUAUAUUAGAGGAAUUUGUUAAAUAAUCGACAACCCACGAUAUAUAUAACUUAUAUUAAUAAAUUUAUAUAUCGCCGUCUAUAGAAAGAUUUAUAAAAAUUUUUCAUAAUAUUAUAUAAAAAGAUAGGUCAAGGUGUAGUUUAUAUAUAAGGUUAUAAUGAAUUACAUUAAAUUUAAUUUAAAGAUUACUAAAAUAAAAUUUUCUAUAAAAUAGGAUUUAUUAGUAUUUUUAUAAUAUUAUUAUAAUAUGAAUAUUAUAAUAAAAGUGUACAUAUCGCCCGUCACCCUUAUUAUUUAUUAUAAUAUAAGGCAAGUCGUAACAUAGUUGAUAUUUUGGAAAAAGUAUCAAG
rnacentral:rRNA from 1 species